AUAUAAAAUGAAUUCUGCCCAAUGAUUAGUUUAAUGGCCGCAGUACUUUAACUGUGCUAAGGUAGCAUAAUAAUUUGGCUUUUAAUUAAGGUCUGGUAUGAAAGGAUUUUAUGGGUAAUAACUGUCUUUAUUUAACUUUUAAAAAUUUACUUAAAAGGUGAAAAUUCCUUUAGCUUUAAAAUAGACGAGAAGACCCUAGGAGUUUUUGUUUUGUUGGGGCGACAUUUUAGUAAAUAACCUAAAAAAAAAAUUUAACGGUUAUAUCAAUUAUAAAUAAACUACCCUAGGGAUAACAGCAUAAUAAUAUUUUUGUUUGUGACCUCGAUGUUGGACUAGG
rnacentral:rRNA from 1 species